AUUGAACGCUGGCGGCAUGCCUUACACAUGCAAGUCGAACGGCAGCACGGGAGCAAUCCUGGUGGCGAGUGGCGAACGGGUGAGUAAUGUAUCGGAACGUGCCCAGUCGUGGGGGAUAACGUAGCGAAAGCUACGCUAAAACCGCAUACGAUCUGUGGAUGAAAGCGGGGGACCGUAAGGCCUCGCGCGAUUGGAGCGGCCGAUAUCAGAUUAGGUAGUUGGUGGGGUAAAGGCCUACCAAGCCGACGAUCUGUAGCUGGUCUGAGAGGACGAACAGCCACACUGGGACUGAGACACGGCCCAGACUCCUACGGGAGGCAGCAGUGGGGAAUUUUGGACAAUGGGCGCAAGCCUGAUCCAGCAAUGCCGCGUGCAGGAUGAAGGCCUUCGGGUUGUAAACUGCUUUUGUACGGAGCGAAAAGGCUCUCUCUAAUACAGGGGGCUCAUGACGGUACCGUAAGAAUAGCACCGGCUAACUACGUGCCAGCCGCCGCUGUAA
rnacentral:rRNA from 1 species